GGUAGAACGCCUAGCGGCAGGCUUAACACAUGCAAGUCGAGGGGUAGAGGAAGCUUGCUUCCUUGAGACCGGCGCACGGGUGCGUAACGCGUAUGCAACCUACCUUUUACAGAGGGAUAGCCCAGAGAAAUUUGGAUUAAUACCUCAUGGUAUAUAUCAUUCGCAUGUUUGAUAUAUUAAAGUUCUAACGGUAAAAGAUGGGCAUGCGUCCUAUUAGCUAGAUGGUAAGGUAACGGCUUACCAUGGCAACGAUAGGUAGGGGUCCUGAGAGGGAGAUCCCCCACACUGGUACUGAGACACGGACCAGACUCCUACGGGAGGCAGCAGUGAGGAAUAUUGGACAAUGGGCGCAAGCCUGAUCCAGCCAUGCCGCGUGCAGGAAGAAGCAUCUAUGGUGUGUAAACUGCUUUUGUACGGGAAGAAACACUCCUUCGUGAAGGAGCUUGACGGUACCGUAAGAAUAAGGAUCGGCUAACUCCGUGCCAGCA
rnacentral:rRNA from 1 species